UACGAAGGGGGGCUAGCGUUGUUCGGAUUUACUGGGCGUAAAGCGCACGUAGGCGGAUCGAUCAGUCAGGGGUGAAAUCCCAGAGCUCAACUCUGGAACUGCCUUUGAUACUGUCGAUCUGGAGUAUGGAAGAGGUGAGUGGAAUUCCGAGUGUAGAGGUGAAAUUCGUAGAUAUUCGGAGGAACACCAGUGGCGAAGGCGGCUCACUGGUCCAUUACUG
rnacentral:rRNA from 1 species